UACGUAGGGUGCAAGCGUUGUCCGGAAUUAUUGGGCGUAAAGAGCUCGUAGGCGGUUUGUUGCGUCGGCUGUGAAAUCCCGAGGCUCAACCUCGGGUCUGCAGUCGAUACGAGCAAACUAGAGUGUUGCAGGGGAGACUGGAAUUCCUGGUGUAGCGGUGAAAUGCGCAGAUAUCAGGAGGAACACCGGUGGCGAAGGCGGCAUCCUGGACCAAUUCUGACGCUGAGGAGCGAAAGCCAGGGGAGCAAACGGG
rnacentral:rRNA from 1 species